rnacentral:lncRNA from 1 species
GUGAUUUCAAGUGGGUUAGGCUUUCUCGAAACUCUGGCUGUACAUCAGCCUUUCCUGGGGGAAUUUAAACCAAGCCCAAUGUCCAGGCCCCUCACCAGGCCUGUGGAAUGAGAGGUCCUGGUAGUGGGACCAGGUAUGGUCGUCUUAGAAGUUUUGCAGCCGGCUCCGAUGCACACCCGGCGCUGAGAAGCUGAGAGCCGCUGCUGCAGGCCUGUGCCCAGGCUGGGUCACGCUACGGAGGAGAAGAUUUUGGAAAGAAGUAGAAGUCCUCACGGGCAACUCCCUGCCAUCCACACCAACCUCCCCUUCUUGUUCUCUCCUUCUCAUCUUAAACUUUCGAGAGGAAGAAGGGUUGGUCAAGGGUGAACGUUCCUGGGCAUGAAGCCUGGAUUCUUUACAUCAGCAACAGACUGGAUGGAGGCAGGAGGCAGUGCGGACCAGAGAGAGGAGUUGUUGCCCGCAGGGUGCCCUUUGAAGACUGCCUUUGCCACCAUCUGCAGCGCGUGGGGCAAGAUAUUAGAAUGGCAUCAGUGUUUGCUUUCACUAAGAGGAAGCGGAGUCCUGGGAGAAAGAGCCGCAGCCUGUGAUUGCACAGCCUUCCCUUGAUGGUACCUUUACCCUGGCAUGUGAGCUAUCAGCCGACUGGGGAUGCUUUCAAAUGAGACAGGAAACAGUUUAGGUGACAAUGAGAAACUCUGGUCUCAGUGGGAUGGAAAUAGAGCCUGGAAGAAAUGGGAAACUUUAAUAUCUGGAUGGAUUCCUUAAACAGCAUCCCCCUGAAGUAAAAGCUUGAAAAAUAAAGUCCACCUGGGUGGUGACUGUCAAGACAGGCCCUGCCCCGUGGGCACUGGCUGAGGAAUUUGGUGUAUUCCACACAUGCCGGAGUUUCCAAGGAGGAAACGUGUUUGAAGUCCAAAGAACAAGGACGGCCUCUGCUUGCUAAUCAGGUGGUAAGACUGUAAUUCCAGAGAGGGUCCUGCCACAUACCCAGAAGGAA